GCGGACGUGGUGGAAUUGGUAGACACACUGGAUUUAGGUUCCAGCGCCGCAAGGUGUAAGAGUUCGAGUCUCUUCGUCCGCACCAA
rnacentral:tRNA from 1 species